rnacentral:lncRNA from 1 species
AAGAAGAAAACAUGGAUACAGGCCAGUGAGAAAUGGAUGCUAUACCGUGAUGUUUGAGGGACAGUGUUUCAGUUUGCUUCUGCUGGGUGCCUGGAGUACCACCAACCUGGAACCACUUUCAGCAAUACGUUCAGCUUGGAGAGUUGGGGAUUACAUUGGUAGCAUGAUUUCAGUCCCAAAACUCAUGAGAAGUAGCCUGUGGUUAUGAAUUCAAGAGAAGAUAAACUCUUCACACAGCAACUAAGCUAAGUCAGGGAAAAGGUGAGAGCAACCUUAUCAGUGAAGAGUCACAUGAACAACUUGCAUACCUACAAGCCUGGAUUUGAAUGACAGCAUUUUCCAAAAAAUACCUGGAAUAUCAGCUGCUCAUCACCUGGAAUCUUGAGGCCAAUGGGAAAUUUUAGACCCACCUAGGGAUGCAAAGCCACUAGUCCCAUUGGAAACUCAUUUCUGAUAUAAUGAGAAAAGAAGGAAAGAAUCCAACUUAGCUCACGGACCAAGUGAUCCCGUGAAAGAAGACUUGGCCGUGGUUAAGGCUGUGGGAAG